GACGAACGCUGGCGGCGUGCUUAACACAUGCAAGUCGAACGGAAAGGCCCUGCUUUUGUGGGGUGCUCGAGUGGCGAACGGGUGAGUAACACGUGAGUAACCUGCCCUUGACUUUGGGAUAACUUCAGGAAACUGGGGCUAAUACCGGAUAGGAGCUCCUGCUGCAUGGUGGGAGUUGGAAAGUUUCGGCGGUUGGGGAUGGACUCGCGGCUUAUCAGCUUGUUGGUGGGGUAGUGGCUUACCAAGGCUUUGACGGGUAGCCGGCCUGAGAGGGUGACCGGCCACAUUGGGACUGGGAUACGGCCCAGACUCCUACGGGAGGCAGCAGUGGGGAAUAUUGCACAAUGGGCGGAAGCCUGAUGCAGCAACGCCGCGUGCGGGAUGACGGCCUUCGGGUUGUAAACCGCUUUCGCCUGUGACGAAGCGUGAGUGACGGUAAUGGGUAAAGAAGCACCGGCUAACUACGUG
rnacentral:rRNA from 1 species